rnacentral:rRNA from 1 species
GUGCCAGCAGCCGCGGUAAUACGUAGGGUGCGAGCGUUGUCCGGAAUUAUUGGGCGUAAAGAGCUCGUAGGCGGUGUGUCGCGUCGGUCGUGAAAACUUGGGGCUUAACUCUGAGCUUGCGGUCGAUACGGGCAUCACUUGAGUUCGGCAGGGGAGACUGGAAUUCCUGGUGUAGCGGUGAAAUGCGCAGAUAUCAGGAGGAACACCGGUGGCGAAGGCGGGUCUCUGGGCCGAUACUGACGCUGAGGAGCGAAAAGCGUGGGGGAGCGAACAGGAUUAGAUACCCUGGUUAGUCC